UACGUAGGGGACGAGCGUUGUCCGGAAUUAUUGGGCGUAAAGAGCGUGUAGGCGGCUUUUCAAGUCCUGCGUGAAAUCUCGAGGCUCAACCUCGAGCGGUCGUGGGAAACUGGAAGGCUAGAGUGCGGGAGAGGGAAGUGGAAUUCCAGGUGUAGCGGUGAAAUGCGCAGAUAUCUGGAAGAACACCCGUGGCGAAGGCGGCUUCCUGGAACGACACUGACGCUGAGACGCGAAAGCGUGGGGAGCAAACAGG
rnacentral:rRNA from 1 species